GACGUAGGGCGCGAGCGUUGUCCGGAUUUAUUGGGCGUAAAGAGCUCGUAGGCGGCUUGUCGCGUCGACUGUGAAAUCCCGCGGCUCAACUGCGGGUCUGCAGUCGAUACGGGCAGGCUAGAGUUCGGUAGGGGAGACUGGAAUUCCUGGUGUAGCGGUGAAAUGCGCAGAUAUCAGGAGGAACACCGAUGGCGAAGGCAGGUCUCUGGGCCGUAACUGACGCUGAGGAGCGAAAGCAUGGGGAGCGAACAGG
rnacentral:rRNA from 1 species